UUUUCUUUAUAACGUUAAGCCCGGCCACUCUAAGUGCUGGUUUUUAUGUUGCGGUAUACUCACCUUGAGAGGGAUCUGCUUCAGGGACUCAAACUAAAAUACCAGCAUCAGCUGAACACAUCAUUAAAGAGCAAACAGGCUUGUUAGGGUUACCGCAUACUGUGUCAAAAAAAUAAAUUAGAUUAGCACCCAAAAUCCAGUUGUCACCACUUCACAGUCUAAAUUGACAUAUUUUAAACAUUUAGUAGCACUUAGUCAUAGGUGUUCAAAAUAAUAGUGACCAAGUGAGAUAGUUUUUGCUUCAGUCAGUCAUAUCAGAGAGAUAUCAGUUUUUGCUUCAGUCAGACCAGCCAUGCACGGGGAGGUUUGCCUUACAUAGCUA